UACGUAGGGCGCAAGCGUUGUCCGGAAUUAUUGGGCGUAAAGAGCUCGUAGGCGGUUUGUCGCGUCUGCUGUGAAAACCUAAGGCUCAACCUUGGGCUUGCAGUGGGUACGGGCAGACUAGAGUGCGGUAGGGGUGACUGGAAUUCCUGGUGUAGCGGUGGAAUGCGCAGAUAUCAGGAGGAACACCGAUGCGAAGGCAGGUCACUGGGCCGCAACUG
rnacentral:rRNA from 1 species